rnacentral:rRNA from 1 species
CACCGCCACGGGAAUACGGAGGGUGCAAGCGUUAAUCGGAAUUACUGGGCGUAAAGCGCACGCAGGCGGUCUGACAAGUCAGAUGUGAAAUCCCCGGGCUUAACCUGGGAACUGCAUUUGAAACUGUCAGGCUGGAGUCUUGUAGAGGGGGGUAGAAUUCCAGGUGUAGCGGUGAAAUGCGUAGAGAUCUGGAGGAAUACCGGUGGCGAAGGCGGCCCCCUGGACAAAGACUAACGCUCAGGUGCGAAAGCGUGGGGAGCAAACAGGAUUAGAUACCCCGGUAGUCCCUGUCUCUUAUACA